UACGUAGGGGGCAAGCGUUGUCCGGAUUCAUUGGGCGUAAAGAGCGUGUAGGCGGCCAGGUAGGUCGGUUGUGAAAACUGGAGGCUCAACCUUCAGAGGUCGACCGAAACCAUCUGGCUAGAGUCCGGGAGAGGAGAGUGGCAUUCCUGGUGUAGCGGUGAAAUGCGCAGAUAUCAGGAAGAACACCCGUGGCGAAAGCGGCUCUCUGGAACGGUACUGACGCUGAGACGCGAAAGCGUGGGGAGCGAGCCGG
rnacentral:rRNA from 1 species